rnacentral:lncRNA from 10 species
UAUCACUCAUCAUAAACCAUAGGAAACCAUUUUUGUUUUAAAUUAGGUGCUUAGGCUUUUGUCCUGUAAUCUGUUUCUUUAUUUCCCCUUUUCACUUUUGUUGGUCCAUUUUCAACAACUCCCAAUCGUCUUCCGUUUCCUGAAAACAGCUCAUAUUUUAUAUCUCAGCUUCUUUAAAGGUAUUUCAUCCUAGUUGAGGUCACCUUAAUUUACACCUCAAAUUACAGUUCCAGAGCCAACUUCUUUGCUGCUGAUAUUGAGUAGUAAUCCUACUAAAGAGUCCAAUUUUAAAAUGAGGAACAGUCUUAUCCUACAAUGCCAGGCAUAAGAAGCCCAUGAAUUUUGCAUAUAUCUUUAGUACUUUAAUUUAUUGAAUUACAUUUCUCCACUUCUUUGAGCCACUUAGUCAAUUACACUUCAUUCUGCUGCCUCGUCUGGUUCUAGAAGCUGUCUGUUCACAAAGACCAUAACUAAGUCAGUUUUUCCCAGACGAGGCAACAGCCGCAAAUCAUCUGAAAGUGAAAUGACUGUGGAAUUUGAGGUUUAAUUGUUUUUAAGCCAUCUUGAUUAUGUUUAUUAAAAUAGAAGGUCUUGUCAAGUUAGACCUCUCUCUAUUUCUGUCUGUCUUUCUCCUCACCUCCCUCACUGACUUUUCAGCUCACUGAGGCCCAUCCUUUUAUUGCCUGAU